AUUGAACGCUGGCGGCAGGCCUAACACAUGCAAGUCGAACGAGUGGCGGACGGGUGAGUAAUGUCUGGGAAACUGCCUGAUGGAGGGGGAUAACUACUGGAAACGGUCGCUAAUACCGCAUACCAUCAGAUGUGCCCAGAGGGGAUUCGCUUGUUGGUGGGGUAACGGCUCACCAAGGCGCCGAUCACUAGCUGGUCUGAGAGGAUGACCGUCCACACGGGAACUGAGACACGGUCCAACCUCCUACGGUAGGCAGCAGUGGGGAAUAUUGCACAAUGGGCGCAAGCCUGCUGCAGCCAUGCCGCGGGUAUGAAGAAGGCCUUCGGGUUGUAAAGUACUUUCAGCGGGGAGGCGUUACCCGCAGAAGAAGCACCGGCUAACUCCGUGCCAGCCGCCGCGGUAAUUC
rnacentral:rRNA from 1 species